AUUGAACGCUGGCGGCAUGCCUUACACAUGCAAGUCGAACGGCAGCACGGGAGCAAUCCUGGUGGCGAGUGGCGAACGGGUGAGUAAAGUAUCGGAACGUGCCCAGUCGUGGGGGAUAACGUAGCGAAAGUUACGCUAAUACCGCAUACGAUCUAUGGAUGAAAGCGGGGGAUCGCAAGACCUCGCGCGAUUGGAGCGGCCGAUAUCAGAUUAGGUAGUUGGGGGGGUAAAGGCUCACCAAGCCGACGAUCUGUAGCUGGUCUGAGAGGACGACCAGCCACACUGGGACAGAGACACGGACCAGACUCCUACGGGAGGCAGCAGUGGGGAAUUUUGGACAAUGGGCGAAAGCCUGAUCCAGCCAUGCCGCGUGCAGGAUGAAGGCCUUCGGGUUGUAAACUGCUUUUGUACGGAACGAAAAGGUUUGGCCUAAUAAGCUGAGCUCAUGACGGUACCGUAAGAAUAAGCACCGGCUAACUACGUGCCAGCCGCCGCGGUAA
rnacentral:rRNA from 1 species